GAAGGUAAGCGUGCUUGGGCGAGAGUAGUACUAGGAUGGGUGACCUCCGAAGUUAAGCGUGCUUGGGCGAGAGUAGUACUAGGAUGGGUGACCUCCUAGGAAGUCCUCGUGUUGCAUUCC
rnacentral:rRNA from 1 species